rnacentral:tRNA from 1 species
CGGGGUGUAGCUCAGUUGGUAGAGCGCGCGCUUCGGGUGCGCGAGGUCGUGGGUUCAAGUCCCGCCAUCCCGA